UUUUCAUCGACGGAUUACAGUUAGGAGAAGAUUUUAUUGAAUUGCAUAAACUUCUAAGAAAGUCCACUUACAAACAUGCAAAACUCUAUGGUCCUGAUGUCGGUCAGCCUCGAGGAAAGACUGUUAAGAUGCUGAAGAGUUUCCUGGAGGCUGGGGGAGAAGUGAUUGAUUCAGUUACGUGGCAUCACUACUAUUUGAAUGGACGAAUUGCUACCAAAGAAGAUUUUCUAAACCCUGAUGUGUUGGACACUUUUAUU